GAUGAACGCUAGCUACAGGCUUAACACAUGCAAGUCGAGGGGAAACGACAUCGAAAGCUUGCUUUUGAUGGGCGUCGACCGGCGCACGGGUGAGUAACGCGUAUCCAACCUGCCCACCACUUGGGGAUAACCUUGCGAAAGUAAGACUAGUACCCAAUGAUAUCUCUAGAAGACAUCUGAAAGAGAUUAAAGAUUUAUCGGGGAUGGAUGGGGAUGCGUCUGAUUAGCUUGUGGGCGGGGUAACGGCCCACCAAGGCGACGAUCAGUAGGGGUUCUGAGAGGAAGGUCCCCCACAUUGGAACUGAGACACGGUCCAAACUCCUACGGGAGGCAGCAGUGAGGAAUAUUGGUCAAUGGGCGAGAGCCUGAACCAGCCAAGUAGCGUGCAGGAUGACGGCCCUAUGGGUUGUAAACUGCUUUUAUAAGGGAAUAAAGUGAGCCUCGUGAGGCUUUUUGCAUGUACCUUAUGAAUAAGGACUGGCUAAUUCCGUGCCAGCAGCCGCAGUAA
rnacentral:rRNA from 1 species